rnacentral:rRNA from 1 species
UACGGGGGGGGCAAGCGUUGUUCGGAAUUACUGGGCGUAAAGCGCAUGUAGGCGGCCAAGCAGGUCGGAUGUGAAAUCCCUCGGCUCAACCAAGGAAGUGCAUUCGAAACCGCAUGGCUCGAGUCCCGGAGAGGAAGGUGGAAUUCUCGGUGUAGAGGUGAAAUUCGUAGAUAUCGAGAGGAACACCGGUGGCGAAAGCGGCCUUCUGGACGAGGACUGACGCUGAGAUGCGAAAGCGUGGGGAGCAAACAGG